GAUGAACGCUAGCUACAGGCUUAACACAUGCAAGUCGAGGGGCAUCAGGAAGAAAGCUUGCUUUCUUUGCUGGCGACCGGCGCACGGGUGAGUAACACGUAUCCAACCUGCCCUUUACUCGGGGAUAGCCUUUCGAAAGAAAGAUUAAUACCCGAUGGGAUAAUGAUUCCGCAUGGUUUGAUUAUUAAAGGAUUCCGGUAAAGGAUGGGGAUGCGUUCCAUUAGGUUGUUGGUGAGGUAACGGCUCACCAAGCCUUCGAUGGAUAGGGGUUCUGAGAGGAAGGUCCCCCACAUUGGAACUGAGACACGGUCCAAACUCCGACGGGAGGCAGCAGUGAGGAGUAUUGGUCAAUGGGCGCGAGCCUGAACCAGCCAAGUAGCGUGAAGGAUGACUGCCCUAUGGGUUGUAAACUUCUUUUAUAUUAGAAUAAAGUGCAGUAUGUAUACUGUUUUGUAUGUAUAAUAUGAAUAAGGAUCGGCUAAUUCUGUGCCAGCCGCCGCCGUAA
rnacentral:rRNA from 1 species